AGCAGCCAUUCAUUUAAAGAGUGCGUAACAGCUCACUAGUCGAGCGGUCCGGCAUGGAUAAUAAUCGGGCAUAAACAUACUACCGAAGCUAUGGACAGAUUUAUUCUGUGGUAGGGGAGCAUUCUGUUUGCGCCGAAGGUGUACUGCGAGGUAUGCUGGAGCGGACGGAAAAGAAAAUGUAGGCAUAAGUAACGAUAAUGCGGGCGAGAAACCCGCACUCCGAAAGACCAAGGUUUCCCCAGCUAUGCUAAUCAGCUGGGGGUUAGUCGGGUCCUAACGCG
rnacentral:rRNA from 1 species